CACCCCCCUUCCUCCAGGCUUCUCAUCUGUAACUGGUGAAGCCCGGAAGAGCUUGUUGUUCAAGAGGAAAUCUUGUGUUACUUCUUUAUGAAGGACUCCAGCCUGGUGGAGAUGAAUGAGUCCUGAAGAUGGAAUCGAAGCUGUUUGGGCACAAACAAGGUUUCACUCUUGUUGCCCAGGCUGGAGUGUAAUGGUGUGAUCUAGGCUCAUUGCAACCUCCACCUCCUGGGUUCAAGUGAUUCUCCUGUCUCAGGCUCCCAAGUAGGUGGGAUUACAGUACUUUAAUCAGCAUUUAAUGACCCAGUCGAAAAUUCAUUGUUUGGACCCAAGCACUGGUGGGAAAGGCAGGAGGGGAGGCCUGCCUUCCUUCCUCCCUCCCGAGCCCUACAGCAGGCCAUGGAGUGGUGAGCGAGUUCGUACAGUGCCAACCACAUUCCCAGAAACUUCCAGCAGAGGUUAAUCCUGCUUCUCUCAGGUGGGCUUGGCCCAUUCUCUAGACUUUGGAAGGUAAUGUUCUAUAGAGGCCUGUUCUGAAGCUUUACCAGGUCAAACCGGAGAAGAACCCAACAAGUAACUCAUCCCAGCCUAACUAUUCUUCAAGGGCAAUCAACCUACAGCAUCCAAGCACAGAGAAAUCAAAUCCAUGGAGAAUCUUCAAA
rnacentral:lncRNA from 1 species